rnacentral:rRNA from 1 species
UGGGGGAUAUUGCACAAUGGACGAAAGUCUGAUGCAGCGACGUCGUGUGGGGGAUGAAGGCCUUCGGGUUGUAAACUCCUUUCGCCCGCGGAAAAGGCAGGGUUUUGGCCUUGUUGAUGGUAGUGGGUAAAGAAGCGCCGGCUAACUACGUGCCAGCAGCCGCGGUAAUACGUAGGGCGCGAGCGUUGUCCGGAAUUAUUGGGCGUAAAGGGCUCGUAGGCGGUUUGUCGCGUCUAGCGUUUAAGGCUCGGGCUUAACCCGGGGUGGCGUUGGGUACGGGCAGGCUUGAGUGCGGUAGGGGUAACUGGAAUUCCUGGUGUAGCGGUGGAAUGCGCAGAUAUCAGGAGGAACACCGGUGGCGAAGGCGGGUUACUGGGCCGUUACUGACGCUGAGGAGCGAGAGCGUGGGGAGCGAACAGG